GAACUAUUCAUCAUCUUCUUAAUUCUUCACAAACCCCAGCCGCCAUCGUGCUCCGUUGCAAGGAUCACCGCUCGUCGUUUGUUGACACCGUCAUUCCUCCUUUGUUCCUUAGUGACGAAGUCGCACAAGCCGACUAUGCACCCCCCACCUCCUACGUUUGCAUGUAGGUGAAGCCGAGGAAUCUCUCUCUUUUCAUUUCAUCAAUCAUCUAGUUUUUGAACGUUUUCAUUAAGCCUUACCGUCGUUAAGUUCUGUCUCGUGCCACCCAGAUCUCAUUGCCGGCAAUCGUUAAACGAACCCUUGCUUGAGCAAGUCGAUCUGUGCAUCACAGAGCCACUUAUCUACUCCUUCGUAAAUCGCGCUUGUCACAGCCGAUUUCUUU
rnacentral:lncRNA from 1 species